rnacentral:rRNA from 1 species
UACAGAGGGUGCAAGCGUUAAUCGGAAUUACUGGGCGUAAAGCGUGCGUAGACGGUUACAUAAGUCGGGUGUGAAAGCCCCGGGCUCAACCUGGGAAUUGCAUUCGAGACUGCGUAGCUAGGGUGCGGAAGAGGGAAGCGGAAUUUCCGGUGUAGCGGUGAAAUGCGUAGAUAUCAGGAAGAACACCCGUGGCUAAGGCGGCUCUCUAGUACGGUACUGACGCUGAGACGCGAAAGCGUGGGGAGCGAACAGG